UGGAGAGGAGCCCACGCAGGAGCAGGGGUCUGGGGGGAGCUGCCACCUGUGGGGGACCUGUGCUGGCGCAGUUUGCUCCUGUGGGUUGGACCCCAUGGUAUGCAGCCAUGUUGGAGCAGUUCUUGAAGAACUGCAGCCUGUGGGCAGCCCUCUCCAUCAUAUUUUCGCCUCCCUUUCCUUUGAGGUGGGGGAGUGAGUGAGCACUUGUGAAGUUUAGCUGCCCAGCAGGGUAAAACCACCACAGGCUGUAACCUUUAGCUCCACCUUGUUAUUUAUGAAGUCUUUCAAAUACAAUAUUCCCAGCAUGAAUGAUCUCCAUUCCUUUCCUGCCUAUGGAAGAAAAAUAUGUCACUGCUUGCCUUGCCACAUACAUUUGGAUCUUGUAUUGAACAUUCCAGAAGCUCUCUGGGAGGACCUUACUCUCAGAUCUUACUCUGGUUGGUGGUGUUGGCGCUGUGUUCUUCGAGUCAGCUACCUCCCUAUAAUAACAGCAGAACAAACAGCAAGUCUACUGCUUGCAGUAGCUAUGGUUUUCCAGCUUCCCCAGGGAUCUGAGAUCUGCUCUGUCUCUCAUCAGGGGCUGUGUUACAAUCUGCAGCAAUGAAACUAGUGCUGUGAAACUAAGUGUAGAUGUAGUGGACAUCUAGAUAUGAAAGGACAAAAUCAGACUCUGCCUCUCUCAGAAGAUCUAAAGUACAGCCUCUACAUCUUAACACUGUUUGGUCAAUGUCUCCAAGCAACUUCAAAAAGUGGCAAGGCACAUCCAGGCUGAUGAUGCUGAAAGAAUUGGUGAAUGCACAAUGAAGUUGGGCAUACUGAUGCACAUCAGCAUGUAACCUCAUGGUGGACUAUGGUGCUAAACCAGACAUUAUAGCCCUGAGACAUUAUAUUUGCAUGGAAUGGAAGAUGUAUAAAUAAAAGAUCCAUUGCAUCAACUCUAACAUUUAAUUUGUUGCUAUUUUUAUCUUAUUGAGCAUUCUGAGAUGGAUUUGGAACAUACAAUCAGUUUAAAACACUUUAUACUUCAGCUGAUUAGGAUAUGUUUCAUUGUCUCGAUUGCAAGUCAAUCUAUGAAAGUAUUCUUUAGUAUUUUUCUUAAAUUUACUCUUAUUGAAUUUUUUUCUUGGAUGCUCCCUGAAAAGGCAUUAAAUUCAUAUUUAAAUCUUUCUAAAUUACCUGAUGGAAAACUGAACCAUUGUACAAACCAUUUAUGUAACAUAUUUUAAUCACUGUAGCUUUCUUGUAUCAAACAAUGUAAAAACUUAGUGACUUGCUAGAGAUCAGGUUCAGUUCACUGUGUCUCAAAAGUAUGAAUAUGAGAGUGGAUAGUAUCAAAACCAGCACACUGUCUUUGGACUGACAGAGAACUUUGCUUUGAUUUAGGUUUUAAACAGUAUUAUUUUCCAGAAAACACACAUCAGUCCACUUUUCUGACAAGUUUUACUAUUAGAAUAUUUGGUUGUUGUUUUAUUUUAGCUCUUGGGAGAGAGAGGAAGUGGACUGCAUGAAUUUGAAAUAAAACAGAAUAUGUGCUUGUGAAACUUACACUUUCAAAAGCAAUGAGAUAUAUAAAUAUUUGUUAUGUUAAUCUACAAAAUUACUUUUAUUAUUUGACCCAUAUGGCUAUGUGAAUACCAGUGUAUAUAAUUCAAUCAUAUAUCCCAGUAUUAGAAAAAAUGCAGCCUUAGAACUAAACACAUUUUUCUCCUGUGUCAGAGGUGAAUCAUUUCCUUAUGUCUGAGAUAUCAGGAUAUGAAGGAAGAUUACUUUCACAGACAAACAAGAGACAGCUGCCCUUGAUAAUGUAAGAUUUAUUCUUAACAUUCUUUUCAAAGGAUCCAUUUCUGUCCAAAUUUUCAUAAUGCAACAGGACUUUUCAAAACAUUGUGUGAAUAAGAGAGACAAGGUGAGGCAAGGCAAGGCAAGAAUAUCAUUUUUCUGCUCUCACUUUUGAUGAACAGAAAUUCGCUCAUCACAAAUGGGAUUCAGAUAUAGCCAACUGUAAUACAGAAUUUUGAAAGGUGACAUCAACCUUUCCAGUUUAGGGCCAGAAAAUUUGUCUGUUAGAUAAGUGCUAAAGGUACAUGUAUACACUAGUUCAAUUUUGCAAGAGUGUGAUUGGAGCGUGUUGGCUGAUAAACAGUCUGCAGGAGAUUUGGUCAAGUGCACGCAAGAAAUCUAUGGAAGAAUUAUUUAUACGGAUGUAUUUCCCCUCUAAUGUGGAAUAUAUGGUGGAAAUUCAAAUUCUCUAAGUCACACAUAAUAAAAUUGAAGUUUUACAUAUUUUGUCUUGUUUUUCAAAAAUAUUGAAUGAGCUGUAGAUUUACAUGUAUAGAUAUACACGAAUCCUUACAUCUCAACAUUGCGUUAUGAUGAAUUCAAUCCAGAAUCAGAUCUGAUUGGCUUAUGUCUCACGUAAACUUUUAUAUGAGUAAUGAAAAAAUGAAAAAUUUGUAAUAUCCUUCUAAUAGAAAGUAGGGGAUGGACAAUCACAAGAUGCCUAUGAAUUAAUUUAUGUGCUAACUACAUAUGAUUGGC